UAAACAUGGUAAUAAAAGGACAAAUCAGUGCCCAGAUUGUGCAUCUGAAGCAAGGGGCUGGCUCUGGUGCUUUAAGACACAGGAGACCCCUGGGCUCCCACUCUGACCUCACCACUCCCCAGGUCUCAAAGGAAAACAAGAAAAGGAGUGGGCUGAAAAGAAUAAAUAAGUGCCACGGGCCAGUUUUUGCAGACUCCUCCAUCAAGCUCCAUGGGCCUUGGAGAAAAUCGGAAGGCCUGUAUUUGAAUCUUCUGGCUCAUGUGUGGGAGCAGAGAGUUACCAUAGAUUCCACAUGUUAAAGCACUGAGUACUUCUUGCCACUAUUGGUUCCCUGGACACCGUCCUGCCUCUUUGGCCAGUAUCCCUGCCUUCUGCUUCUUAGGGAGAAGAGAAAUGAAAGCAGACUUUUGGAGAGUUUUUAAUGUAGUGGCCUAAUACCUGGCACAUGGUAAACACUCAGUAAACAACGGUGAAAAAAAUGAAUGAUUGGAAAAGCGAUCACCUGUGCACACCUGUGAUGAUCACCUGUGAACAGUGACAUUGGGUGGAAAAUGAAGUCAAGGAAUCGGCUCUUCAUCAAAAGGGUCCAAAGAUGACUGAACUCCCAUUUUGCUUUCCAGGAGAGACUCAGUAGUGGUGGCACAUGGGUAGGUGCAGACAGUCUGGAUAACUGCUGCUUGAAGAGUGGAUCGAGACCCUCACAGUGCCAUCAGCUACCUGCAUGCUGAUCUGGACAGGAGCGUCCUUGCCUGUAGCCACACUGGAGGUGAAGGGCUUUUCCUUCUGAUAAACCUUUUUCUCAAUGACUCAUUCAUUUGCUCUUCAGUCCCCUGAAGUUCAGUAACUUUUCUGGUUUUUAUCAAUUCCAAAAUUAACAGAAAAUAUCUUUCUUUCUUCAGGAAAUGACGUAACGAAGAUGAAGAGCUUUAAUCUAACUCAUAUAAAAUGCUCAAUACACUACUUUGUUUUAAUUUCUUUUUUGACUAAAAAAAUGUGUUCCUAAAAUACCAGCCAUAUAUGAUCCUUGGAAUUCCUUUUUGAGAAAAGAGACUCUUCACAAAAGCUAGACAGUCUUCUAAGAGAUAAAGUAGAGUAAGAAGAAGGUGGUCGGGUGGCUUUUUUUUUUUUUUUUUUUUGCUACUGAAGAUUGAACUCAGGGGCACUUAACCAUUGAGCCACAUCUCCAGCCCACAUAUUAUUUAUUUAUUUACUUACUUUUUAUGUGGUGCUGAGGAUUGAACCCAGUGCCUCAUGCAUGCAUGAGCCACCACUGAGCUACAAUCCCAGCUCCUCUUUUUUAUAUUUUAUUUAGAGACAGGGUGACACUGAGUUGCUUAGUGCCUUGCUAAGUUGCUGAGGCUGGCUUUGAACUGGUGAUCCUCCUGCCUCAGCCUCCCAAGCCACUGGGAGAGUGCCAUUUUUAAAGAACUACAUAUCAACUGUGAAUAAAAAUCAAACUUUUAUGAAAGGAAGAUGAUUUUUCCUCCCACUAUAAUUACAUAUGGAAACCUUGACAUCCUUCAACUUUACUGAGGAAAUUAGACUCCUGGGAUUGAUUUCUCUGAGUUCUGUAGAGGUUCGCUCUGGUCUGCAGGAUGGGGGCCCUGUGGCAGUUGAAGAAAGCAUUUGUUCCUUUGGGCCUUCACAGGUAACUCCCCUAUCCCAUGUGUCUGUGGUCUUACAGACUCCCCUGAACCCUCCUCCCUGGUUCCCCCCUAGACCUUUUUCUAAAUCUGAAAUUGUUAGGGCCUAGUUGUUCCUUCACAAAAGGAAGUCCACCUCCCCAGGCUGGAAGUCUUGAAGCACUUCCCUUUCAUUCUCUGAGAGAAUUAAGUAUUUGUUACAGUCCCAGGCAGCGGCUUUUUGGAUUAGCCUUUGCAGGCCUUUCCAGGCUCCAGGAAACUUGGCAGGAAUGUUUGGCAGCUUCCUAAACUUACUAGAAAUACCAGAAGCCCACAGUUUGCAUAAUACUAAUUAAGUUUUCAGCCCAGUCUCCCUUAUAGUGUAGAAGAUCCAACAAUUUAGGAAACGUCCUAUAUAGAAAUUGAUCAGGGAAGGCACUGAUCCCAAACCACCCAUAAAACAAGAACGUGGAAUUCACAGGUAGCCCUGGCAGCUGCAUCCCAUACUUUCAAAGAAGAGCUCUUUUGAUGUUUAUUUCAUUUUUUUCCUCUUGCAGUGCAAAUCCUGCCAGCCUCACAUCAUUUUCUAGUAUCACUUCCUGAGGCACCUGCACUGAUUUCUUCUUUGCCUUUGGAAGUGUUUAGUUUUCUCUAAGCCAUUGUACCAAUAGGUGUGGUACUCUGGUAUUCUGACACACCUCUGGGGUGAGGCGAGACAGGGCACCUGUGCCAAGUGUCUUCACCCACCCAAGGUGUGGUGAUAUCUUCUAUUCUUACCACAUCGUGGAGUGUUUUAUUCACCUCUCACCACAAGUCAUCCAAAAAGAAAACAUAUUGGUCUUGUGCUUUAAACCCCACUUUUUUUUUUUAAUUUGAUUUUUAAGUAUUGCACUGGAGCAUUCUCUUUCUCUCUCUUUUCCCUCUGUAUAUUUUUAUUGAUAUAAAUUCCACUUUGAAGCCUCAGAAUUCUGGUUAUUCUGUGGGGGAUCAGGGAUCAGUCUUUCGAUUUUCACAUUUUUAUACUAAUGACUGUAAUAUCUUCUAAGAAAAAAAAAAUAAGGCAAAGGAGGAGACCCAAGUGAAAUGGAAGACACUGGCUUUUCCUCUUUGCUUUAGAAAUCCAUGUAUUUAAAGAGGCCACAUGAUAGGGAAUUGAUUUGUCAAUAUUCCCUAAAACUCUGUGCUUGAAAAACAUCUUUCAGUAAUUAGCAAUAUUUUUGAAGUGUCAGUUCGAGAUAGCUGCUGAUUACUGGUGUCCUGUUGUGGCUGGGCACCAGGAUCCCCUCUCCCCUCUUUGAGUUCUGAAGUUCCGGUGUCCACGUGGAUUGUGAUACUGCUGAUUUUGUGUAGUCAGGCCUCGGUAAAAGGCUCGGGUGAGUGAGAGAGCUGGUGGACAGUGGCCCAGCCUAAUCCCUGAGGGAGUACCAGGGGGUUUCCAGGCCUGCCUAUUGAGAAGUGUGAAGCCUCAGAAUGUCCCUAUGGUGGGAGUUCAUUGGUUUCCAAGGGAACGAGAAGUAGGGAUACAACAAGGUCCAUUCUUGGAGUGGUUUGGGUUUUGUAGUUGAAGAGUCAAAACCAACGUGAGAAUUCAUCAAUGGUUCAGUGGUGAAUUAUGAGUUCCAGGGGAAAGUAGAGAAGGCUGACGUCAGUGUGGACAGGAAUAGCUGGAGAAGACUUCCUGGAGAAUUGAGGGCUGGCACUAGGCACAGAAAAAACAAAAAUGACUACAGAUUGAUAAAGUCCUAUAUGACACUUUUAAGGGUUCAAUUUGAAUUAACCUCUCUACAACAAGUGUUGUUUUUGGAGGUUGGGAAAAAUUGUUGAAGAAAGAGAGCAAGGUCCCCUGCAUGCACACGUUCAGGCUCUUUCCUGAGCUGCUUGUGAGAACCAUUCACAGAACACACAACUCAAUUUAGGAGCAAAGCAUACCUAAUAUAUUCAUAGGAGAAAAUCUGUGAAUUAUUGGAGGGUUUAAUGCACACUAAGAUGAAAUUAUCUCAGUCAAGUAGAAGAAAUCAGAUAAUAAUUUUUUUUUCUCAGUUAAAAAAUCCUUCAUAGCAGGCACUAGAAAACUGCCCUCCUAGGACCAAAUCAGGCCCAUUUCUUGUUUUUGGAUGACCUGUGAGCUAAAAAUUAUUUUGAAAUGAAGGUGAUAUUUUGUGAUAAGUAAGAAUUCUAUGAAAUUCAAAUGUCAGUGUCCAGAGUAAAGUUUUGUUGGGAUACAUCCACACCCAUUUGUUUAUAUAUCAUCCAUCACUGCUUUUUGUGCUAGGACAGCAAGCUAAGUAGUUGCAACAGAAGUCAAACAUAUUACUUUGGCACUUUGCACUGGGAAUCCAUGUGCUGAAAAUGGCAGUGACACAAUAAUAAAUGGACAGUGUUUUGGGUGACACAUGUAUCACCUUUCUGAGCAAAAAGAUACUUUUCAAAGAAGAAAUACAUAAAACUUAUUGAAGAUCAGCACUAACAGAUGAACAUUUACAAUCAAUUUUGAUGAUGAAAAAUAUGAAUUUCAAAGCCCAGUUAAGGAAAAUAUGACCUCCUCUAAAUGAAUUUCAUUGUUUUUAUUAGUAGACCUGUGCUACAAAAGAAAAAAAAGUACUCAAUUAUUACUACAUUUUGAAUUUUUUUAAGUUGUGAAAAGUAUCCAAAAGAAUUCAAGUUAGCAUACUUUAGAGGUAUAUGCAUAACCCAUGUUUAUUGCAGCACAGUUCAUAAUUGCCAAGUUAUGGAAUUCACCUAGUAUCUGUCAACAGAUGAAUGGAUAAAGAAAAUGUGUUAGAUAAUACACAAUGAAAUUUUAUUCAGCCAUAAUGAAAAAUGAAAUUAUGUCAUUUGUAGGAAAAUGGAUAGAACUGAAGAGCAUCACGCUUAGUGAUAUAAGCCAGACACAGAAAGAUAAGUGUCAUAUGUUUUCAUAAGUUAGAGUGUAAAACAAAAAAGAAAGAAAAAAGACUUCAUUAAAGUAGAAGGGAGACCCUUUGGGUAGAGGAAGGGGAUCAGGUGAGGAGGGUACAGAGAGGUAUUGGGGAGAGAAAUUGAUAUAAUUGUGUUAUAUCAUGUAUACAUAUGCCACAAUGAAGCCCUCUAUUCUGUAUAAUUAUUAUGUAGCAACAAAAAAUCUUGAUUGGCACAAAAAAUAUUUUUUUCAUACCAUAUUGUAACAAGUGCUAAGUAUUCCACAUGAAUUUACUGAUAAAUGCCUUUUUCUUGCUCUGAUUAUGUAAAAUGUUAGAUUCAAAUAAAGUUCAGACCCAGAA
rnacentral:lncRNA from 1 species